CUGCGCCGCUUGUACCAUCUCUUUCAUUCUCUCCUUCACUUUCAUUCUUACACACACACACGACGCCACUCUCAACCCCUGAACUCGACCGCCGUUCAAUCAUCGGGGCCACACUACGACGAUGAAGAGACCAAAUACCAGUGAUAUAUGGCGUAGGUGAUGACGAUGGUGACUUCGAUGAUCGACGGUGAAGGUUCGGCCGAAGCAUACGUGCAGCGGUGGCUCAUGCACCGGUUGGAAUUUGGAUGGUCACUAGCAGCAGCAACUGUUUCAUUUGUUGGAGACAAUGACAGUUUUAGUUUAAGGUUAAAAACCCUAACUUCAAACGUGUUACUCUGGGCCAAUUCAUGUUUGGGUCGGAUCCGAGUCAUGGUCUGCUGGAUCUUGUAUUGGGCUUGGAAAUGUUGCAUCUGGGUUGCUGGGAUGAGUCCUUUAUUUGUAAUUUGUAAAAAAAUUAUAUUAAUAAUAAUAAUAAUA